rnacentral:rRNA from 1 species
GAUGAACGCUGGCGGCGUGCCUAAUACAUGCAAGUCGAGCGAACAGACGAGGAGCUUGCUCCCCUGACGUUAGCGGCGGACGGGUGAGUAACACGUGGAUAACCUACCUAUAAGACUGGGAUAACUUCGGGAAACCGGAGCUAAUACCGGAUAAUAUAUUGAACCGCAUGGUUCAAUAGUGAAAGACGGUUUUGCUGUCACUUAUAGAUGGAUCCGCGCCGCAUUAGCUAGUUGGUAAGGUAACGGCUUACCAAGGCAACGAUGCGAAGCCGACCUGAGAGGGUGAUCGGCCACACUGGAACUGAGACACGGUCCAGACUCCUACGGGAGGCAGCAGUAGGGAAUCUUCCGCAAUGGGCGAAAGCCUGACGGAGCAACGCCGCGUGAGUGAUGAAGGUCCUCGGAUCGUAAAACUCUGUUAUUAGGGAAGAACAAAUGUGUAAGUAACUAUGCACGUCUUGACGGUACCUAAUCAGAAAGCCACGGCUAACUACGUG